AUGAACGCUGGCGGCGUGCCUAAUACCUGCCAGUCGAGCGAACAGAUGAGGAGCUUGCUCCUCUGACGUUAGCGGCGGACGGGUGAGUAACACGUGGAUAACCUACCUAUAAGACUGGGAUAACUUCGGGAAACCGGAGCUAAUACCGGAUAAUAUAUUGAACCGCAUGGUUCAAUAGUGAAAGACGGUUUUGCUGUCACUUAUAGAUGGAUCCGCGCCGCAUUAGCUAGUUGGUAAGGUAACGGCUUACCAAGGCAACGAUGCGUAGCCGACCUGAGAGGGUGAUCGGCCACACUGGAACUGAGACACGGUCCAGACUCCUACGGGAGGCAGCAGUAGGGUAUCUUCCGCAAAGGGCGAAAGCCUGACGGAGCAACGCCGCGUGAGUGAUGAAGGUCUUCGGAUCGUAAAACUCUGUUAUUAGGGAAGAACAAAUGUGUAAGUAACUAUGCACGUCUUGACGGUACCUAAUCAGAAAGCCACGGCUAACUACGUG
rnacentral:rRNA from 1 species